CCUAUCCAGUCCGGGUUUUCCGGGGUGCCCCAUCCCGGCCCAUCCGGGUUCCUUUGGGUCGCUGCAUUCCCGGUGGGUUCGGGUUUUCCUCAUCCCGGUCCGCCUCAGGUUUAACGGGAGCGGCAGCGAGGCGUGCUCGGCCUGUGGGAGUCCACAGAGACGUGAGGCAGAUACGGCCUGGACCUGGAUUCUUGGAAAUUACAGAUAGACACAUCUCUGAAAAUGGCAUUUUUGAAUCAUCUAGAACUCAGAAGUACUGCUGUACUGGUUUAACCCCAGCUGGCAACCGAGCACUGAAUCAGAAGAGUCAGAGAGAACCUGUGGGUUGAGGUAUAGUUUAGCACACGAAGCAAAAGUUGUGCACACAAGCAAAGCAAAGCA